rnacentral:misc_RNA from 1 species
UCCCCGUUACCGGGGCAGUCUGGCUAGAAAAAUACAACUAACUAUAAGGGUUGCGCUCGUUGAUGGACUUAACCAAACAUCUCACGACACGAGCUGACGACGGCCAUGCAUCACCUGUCACUGCGGCCCGAAGGCACUCUCUCCUUUCGGAGUGAUUAGCAGGAUGUCAAGCCUGGGUAAGGUUCUUCGCUUACCAUCGAAUUAAACAACACGCUCCACCGCUUGUGCGGGUCCCCGUCAAUUCCUUUAUGUUUUAGUCUUGCGACCGUACUCCACAGGCGGGAUGCUUAACGCGUUAGCUACGCUACUAGGAGGGUCGAUACUCCUAACAGCUAGCAUCCAUCGUUUACGGCGUGGACUAC